GACCUAAACUGAGUACGGCUCGGCAUGGUUUAGAAAGCAACGGAAAGAAAAAGCUCGUCAUGAGUACUUCUUUCCGUUGUCAUGGCUCGAAAGGGCUAUGGGUAGCCGCAAGGCUGCC
rnacentral:sRNA from 1 species